UGGCGGCGUGGUUAAGACAUGCAAGUCGAACGAGAGAAUUGCUAGCUUGCUAAUAAUUCUCUAGUGGCGCACGGGUGAGUAACACGUGAGUAACCUGCCCCCGAGAGCGGGAUAGCCCUGGGAAACUGGGAUUAAUACCGCAUAGUAUCGAAAGAUUAAAGCAGCAAUGCGCUUGGGGAUGGGCUCGCGGCCUAUUAGUUAGUUGGUGAGGUAACGGCUCACCAAGGCGAUGACGGGUAGCCGGUCUGAGAGGAUGUCCGGCCACACUGGAACUGAGACACGGUCCAGACACCUACGGGUGGCAGCAGUCGAGAGUCAUUCACAAUGGGGGAAACCCUGAUGGUGCGACGCCGCGUGGGGGAAUGAAGGUCUUCGGAUUGUAAACCCCUGUCAUGUGGGAGCAAAUUAAAAAGAUAGUACCACAAGAGGAAGAGACGGCUAACUCUGUGCCAGCAGCCGCGGUAAUACAGAGGUCUCAAGCGUUGUUCGGAAUCACUGGGCGUAAAGCGUGCGUAGGCUGUUUCGUAAGUCGUGUGUGAAAGGCGCGGGCUCAACCCGCGGACGGCACAUGAUACUGCGAGACUAGAGUAAUGGAGGGGGAACCGGAAUUCACGGUGUAGCA
rnacentral:rRNA from 1 species